AAAUUGAAGAGUUUGAUCAUGGCUCAGAUUGAACGCUGGCGGCAGGCCUAACACAUGCAAGUCGAACGGUAACAGGAAGCAGCUUGCUGCUUCGCUGACGAGUGGCGGACGGGUGAGUAAUGUCUGGGAAACUGCCUGAUGGAGGGGGAUAACUACUGGAAACGGUGGCUAAUACCGCAUAACGUCGCAAGACCAAAGAGGGGGACCUUCGGGCCUCUUGCCAUCAGAUGUGCCCAGAUGGGAUUAGCUAGUUGGUGAGGUAACGGCUCACCAAGGCGACGAUCCCUAGCUGGUCUGAGAGGAUGACCAGCCACACUGGAACUGAGACACGGUCCAGACUCCUACGGGAGGCAGCAGUGGGGAAUAUUGCACAA
rnacentral:rRNA from 1 species